CACUGACUCUCUUUGCGUGAUGUGUGGUGGGGGGAAAUCCAUGAAUUUAUCAGGCCAAAAACAACCUGGUCAGCUCCUCCCCUCACUCCUGGCCCCGGCAGGGGGGGGGGUUGGCUUUGGAGACCCUUAGUAAUCUCAGGCCAAUCACAUGGCCCUGUGGCAGCAACAACUCCUUCGAAUGCCUGCCCUAUCACUUUCAUGGUAGUCACUGUGCCUACCAUGGUGACCAUGAGUGAUGGGGAGUCAGGGUUCAAAUCUGGAGGGGAGUCUGAGAAAUGGCCUCCAAACCAGGAAGGCAGCAGGAUGGCAAAUUACCCACUCCGUCCCAGUGAGGUAGUGAUGAAAAAAAUACGAACUCUUUCGAGGCCUGUAUUGGAAGAGUCUCUUUAAUCCUCCACGAGGAUCAUGGAGGCAAGUCUGAUGCCAGAGGCAUUGUAAUUCUACCUCCAAUGGCAUAUAUAAGUUGCUGCAGUUAAAAAGCUCAUGUUGGAUCUUGGGA
rnacentral:ncRNA from 1 species